rnacentral:rRNA from 1 species
AUUGAACGCUGGCGGCAUGCUUUACACAUGCAAGUCGAACGGCAGCACGGACUUCGGUCUGGUGGCGAGUGGCGAACGGGUGAGUAAUACAUCGGAACGUGCCCAGUUGUGGGGGAUAACUACUCGAAAGAGUAGCUAAUACCGCAUGAGAACUGAGGUUGAAAGCAGGGGAUCGUAAGACCUUGCGCAACUGGAGCGGCCGAUGGCAGAUUAGGUAGUUGGUGGGAUAAAAGCUUACCAAGCCGACGAUCUGUAGCUGGUCUGAGAGGACGACCAGCCACACUGGGACUGAGACACGGCCCAGACUCCUACGGGAGGCAGCAGUGGGGAAUUUUGGACAAUGGGCGAAAGCCUGAUCCAGCAAUGCCGCGUGCAGGAUGAAGUCCUUCGGGUUGUAAACUGCUUUUGUACGGAACGAAAAGCUUCGGGCUAAUACCCUGGAGUCCUGACGGUACCGUAAGAAUAAGCACUGGCUAACUACGUGCCAGCCGCCGCCGUAAAAC